CCAGGGCCGUUUCUGGAGGUGAUGAUGCGGAUGAUCUGUUAUUGAGGUGGGACUGCAACUCCUGACCCUGCAUCAGGCUGCCUGCCUCUCUGAGACAGAUCAGUCAGUCUGUCCUCCACACAGAGACCAGAGUCUGAAGAAUGUGGAACAUCUGGACAUUCUGCAGAACAUCUCAUGGGUCCACGAAAGCAUAAGAUCAUGUUGAUUACACUGGGUUGAGCGAGAAAUGUGCAGCUCUACUUCCUUCCCUGCCUCACAAGUGUUGGGUCCACAGUGCAGGCUGCAGUAAGCCUCCUGCAUGCAAAUAUCCCAGAGCCCUCUCAUGGGAAAUCCAAGCCCAAGAUUAUGACUAAGAUAAGAUCUUCAAAUAAUGAGAGAGAGUCAGCAGGUAAUAUCAACCAGAGAAGUAGAGGAUGGAAGAUUCUGAUGACUCAAAGUUCUGAGCUGGUAUUCGCAGGAGGGAGGAAAGAGGAAGAAUGGUCUGCAAGGGGCAACGAGAGCCAACAACCACCUACAAGCCCAGCUGCACAGAGUGCGGGCAGGAAAGCAGCCUUCACUUGAGAGCGCCAAAGCAGAAGCAGAGUCCUGAGGGGACCGCCACCUUUGGGUGAGGGAAAUGUUCAGAGAAGAUUGAGAUUUCCUGAUGACAGAGCAUGAGUUUCCGAGAACUUGCAGGAAGAGGAGUGAGAUCAAAUCUGAAAGGAGAAUAUGCCAAAUUGCUUGGAGAGUGCAUGGGAGCAUAGAUCACCUGGUAUUCUGGACUCCUCCUGUCACUAAAGGAAGCAGGGGUAAAGAACAGAAUGAAAUUAGCCUUGGGAUUGUCAGAGCAGGGCAGGCCCGAGAGGCUCUGCCUGUGGGUAGGAAGGACAGGGGAGGGCGUUGGCAGGCAUGUUGGGGUCCCAUUUCCUUCCAGCAGAGUUGAUGUAAGUCUGGGAUGGAAUGGAAUGGAAUGGAAUGG